AGUAAAUUGCAAAUACCACCCCUGUGUAAUACGUAAUUGUCAAAUACCCCCUGUCAAAUACCCCCGUCAAAUAAAAAUUCACUCAUACCCUCCUGUGUAAUCAAAGUCAAAGCAUUGAGACCCCUGGAAUCGAAUCGUGUCUCACACGCGCGAGUUGUGCGAUUUUUCCUUCACUUUUGCUAUGGGAAAUGACAGAGUUGCCCCCCACAUCUUUUUCUUUUCUUCUUUGUUCGUCAUCUUCCUCACGAAUCGACCCCCUGCAUCAAAAACUCCCAAUCCAUGGCUGUCGAAACUCCAGCUGUGGAUUUGCAGUCACAUAUGUAUAUGUGUGUGUUGAUAAUGGUUACAGGAGCACUAUAAGGAUUUGCAGUCAAAAUCAUU
rnacentral:lncRNA from 1 species